CUCUCUCUCUCUCUCUACUUUGAUAAGCUUAAUUAGGGCUCAAUCAGAAGAGAAGAACUAGCAGAUCAAGAAUCUACAUAUAAUCAAGCAAGAUUAUUACAAGGUCUCACCAAAGAAAAAGAAGAAAGAGGUCCCGACAGAUCAAGCUCGGGGAUACCAAUACCAUGAAGAUCCAUACCCUGAUGUUCUUGCUCAAGAAGGGAAGACAAAAAACCCUAUCUGUGAGAUAAAGAUCCACGGUAGGGUUUCGAUCUUGUUUAUGAGAAGUGGGUUUCAUGGGAUCUAUAUACGCAAUGAUCUGGUUCUGAUAAUCUUUUUAUCUGGGGAAUGGAAGCAUCACGGUCCGAUCCGGUUUUAUAUACACAUAUAUAUAUAUAUAUAUAUGAUAUAUUAUUUUCGAGACAGAUUCUAUAUAUAUCUCGUGUAUGGCUUUGUUUGUUUGAAGAGUUCAUGUUUGUUCUUGAGUUUGUAUCUUGGCAUGUAUGCGUAUUAGUUAUAAUAUAUUUGCAGGUGAAUAGGUAAGUUUCUUUCAUAACUCCAUAUGCAUAUGAUAUGAUGUUUUCACAUGGGUAUGUUUGUGUUUACUCCUAAGUAGUAAAACACUUUCAUCCAUACACAUAUACGCAUGCAUGUAUGUACGCAUACUCACAUAUAUAUGUGCAUAUAUACAUAUAUGGACCCAUUUUAUGUACUCUCCUUUCCUUUUUGGCUGUUGUUGUAUUUGAGUACGGGUUCAUGAUUCAA